rnacentral:rRNA from 1 species
CCCAGCAGCUGUAUCGCCCUGCAACUCACAACUGGCAGCCCACUGAAGCUCAGCAGGUGUGAGCCUGGUCAGUACCUGGAUGGGAGACCUCCUUGAAAAGCUAAGGUUGCUGCUGGAA